AUGGCCUGGAUGGUGCUCUUGCUCGGGCGCUUUGCUUACAGCUCAGGUGUGGAUUCUCAGACUGUCCUGACCCAGGAGCCAUCACUGUCUGUUUCUCCAGGAGGGACAGUCACACUUACCUGUGUCCUUAGCUCUGGGUCAGCCUUUAGUAGUUACUACCCCAGCUGGUACCAGCAGACCUCAGGCAAGUCUCCCCGCACGCUCAUCUACAGAACAACAAACCACAUCUCUGGAGUCCCUGAGCGCUUCUCUGGAUCCAUCUCUGGGAACAAAGCCAUCCUCACCAUCACUGGGGCUCAGCCUGAGGGUGAGGCCGACUAA